rnacentral:rRNA from 1 species
UACAGAGGGGGCAAGCGUUGUUCGGAAUUACUGGGCGUAAAGGGCGCGUAGGCGGCCUUCUAAGUCGAACGUGAAAUCCCCGGGCUCAACCCGGGAACUGCGUCCGAUACUGGAAGGCUUGAAUCCGGGAGAGGGAUGCGGAAUUCCUAGUGUAGAAGUGAAAUUCGUAGAUAUUAGGAAGAACACCAGUGGCGAAGGCGGCUCACUGGCCCGGUACUGACGCUGAGGCGCGGAAGCGUGGGGAGCAAACAGG